GGAUUGGUGCCUUCGGGAACUGUGAGACAGGUGCUGCAUGGCUGUCGUCAGCUCGUGUUGUGAAAUGUUGGGUUAAGUCCCGCAACGAGCGCAACCCUUAUCCUUUGUUGCCAGCGGUCCGGCCGGGAACUCAAAGGAGACUGCCAGUGAUAAACUGGAGGAAGGUGGGGAUGACGUCAAGUCAUCAUGGCCCUUACGACCAGGGCUACACACGUGCUACAAUGGCGCAUACAAAGAGAAGCGACCUCGCGAGAGCAAGCGGACCUCAUAAAGUGCGUCGUAGUCCGGAUUGGAGUCUGCAACUCGACUCCAUGAAGUCGGAAUCGCUAGUAAUCGUGGAUCAGAAUGCCACGGUGAAUACGUUCCCGGGCCUUGUACACACCGCCCGUCACACCAUGGGAGUGGGUUGCAAA
rnacentral:rRNA from 1 species